UGGAAAGUGGUGUAGUGGGAACACUUGGAGUUUUGAUCUCUAGGAUAUGGGUUCGAAUCCCUUCUUUCCAA
rnacentral:tRNA from 1 species